rnacentral:tRNA from 1 species
UAGAUAGAUGUUCGUAGGAUUGAACGCUUAGCUGUUAACUAAGAAUUUACAGGAUCGAGGCCUGUCUAUCUAG